CCUACGGGAGGCAGCAGUGAGGAAUAUUGGUCAAUGGGCGCAAGCCUGAACCAGCCAUGCAGCGUGAAGGAAGACUGCUCUAUGAGUUGUAAACUUCUUUUAUAAAGGAAUAAAGUCAGGCACGUGUGCCUGUCUGUAUGUAUUUUAUGAAUAAGGAUCGGCUAACUCCGUGCCAGCAGCCGCGGUAAUACGGAGGAUCCGAGCGUUAUCCGGAUUUAUUGGGUUUAAAGGGAGCGUAGAUGGGUUGUUAAGUCAGUUGUGAAAGUUUGCGGCUCAACCGUAAAAUUGCAAUUGAUACUGGCAGUCUUGAGUACAGUUGAGGUAGGCGGAAUUCGUGGUGUAGCGGUGAAAUGCUUAGAUAUCACGAAGAACACCGAUUGCGAAGGCAGCUUACUAAACUGCCACUGACAUUGAUGCUCGAAAGUGUGGGGAUCAAACAGGAUUAGAUACCCUGGUAGUC
rnacentral:rRNA from 1 species